rnacentral:lncRNA from 1 species
UGAAGUCUUGGAUGCGUAUGGUAGUUGUAGCAACGAAUGCUCAGGAUAUUCUAUCUUAUCCACCACAUGAUGUAUUUCAAGUUUAGCACUAAGUUCACAUUAAGAGGCAGGACAGACACUAGAAUCAUGGUGCAUGUGUGUGGUGCAGUGAAACACGAACUUAAACGAGUCAUGAUUCGAACAGUCGUUACUGGUGAUGCUGUCAUUACUGUUUCGCUAUUCCGUGACAUAGGCGUAGCGAA